GAUGAAGAACGUAGCGAAAUGCGAUACUUGGUGUGAAUUGCAGAAUCCCGUGAACCAUCGAGUCUUUGAACGCAAGUUGCGCCCGAAGCCAUUAGGCCGAGGGCACGCCUGCCUGGGCGUCACACGUCGUUGCCCCCCCAUCUACUCCUUCGGGAUUGCGGGGGGCAGAUGAUGGCCUCCCGUGCGCCUCGUCGCGCGGUUGGCAUAAAUGCCAAGUCCUCGGCGACACACGCCACGACAAUCGGUGGUUGCGAAACCUCGGUUGCCCGUCGUGUGCGGUCGUCGCGCAUCGAGGGCUCGAAAAAAUUGCCGGGCUCCGGCUCGGCUUUCAACGCGACCCCAGGUCAGGCGGGGUUACCCGCUGAAUUUAAGCAUAUCAAUAAGCGGAGGA
rnacentral:misc_RNA from 1 species